rnacentral:rRNA from 1 species
CUACCAUUAAGUUGAGCACUCUAAUGAGACUGCCUGGGUAACCAGGAGGAAGGUGGGGAUGACGUCAAAUCAUCAUGCCCCUUAUGUCCAGGGCUACACACGUGCUACAAUGGUAGGUACAAUAAGACGCAAGACCGUGAGGUGGAGCAAAACUUAUAAAACCUAUCUCAGUUCGGAUUGUAGGCUGCAACUCGCCUACAUGAAGCUGGAGUUGCUAGUAAUCGCGAAUCAGAAUGUCGCGGUGAAUACGUUCCC